CGUUCGUGCAUCCGUGUUAACGCAAUGUUCUCCGCGGUUUGUGUGUUAUUCGUGAACGCAAUCGGAACGAGUCCUCAUCAACGCAGUUUAACGCGACUGUAAGUAAAGGGAAGCAGCGGGCGCCUUCACCGGCGCGGCCCUCGGCGAUCGCUUUGUUUGUAUGUGUCGCGCGCACGGUUCAACUUUUGAAUACCGUGGCUGCGCGUUGUCGCAGUGCAGUGAUGAUUAUAUGCCAGUGCUCAUCGUGAAACUGCACAAACCGCGUCACUGCUGAUGGAGCUGCCACGUACGUAGACGGCGGCGCCCGAGAAGACCUUUUCUGAAGAGAAUGCGUGCCUGGCGAUUGCCACUUCCAGUCGCAACUUUUACAAAGUGGCAGCUGGCCUCCAUGGGGCGGUGCAGACAGGGGACUGUCAUUGCUGGAGCACCUCCUGGCUAUCCACAGGAAAUGGAAAAAACAUGCUGUUUUCACAACGCGGACGACACCGUGUCAAAGGAAGUUAUGGAAA
rnacentral:lncRNA from 1 species